UACAGAGGGUGCGAGCGUUAAUCGGAGUUACUGGGCGUAAAGGGCGCGUAGGCGGUGAGAUGAGUGUGAUGUGAAAGCCCCGGGCUUAACCUGGGAAGUGCAUCGCAAACGAUCUGACUGGAGUAUAUGAGAGGGUGGCGGAAUUUCCGGUGUAGCGGUGAAAUGCGUAGAGAUCGGAAGGAACGUCGAUGGCGAAGGCAGCCACCUGGCAUAAUACUGACGCUGAGGCGCGAAAGCGUGGGGAGCGAACAGG
rnacentral:rRNA from 1 species